AGAUUAGUCAUGACUUUUGGUAUAACAACCUAGGGGAGAGAAAACAGUAAGAGCUGGUCCUGGGGUGAAGGGUGGGAGGAGGGGGAAGACAAGGAGGUGGAGAGGUGGGGGUGAACCGGAGAAGAGCUAGGUGUAGAUAGGACCCCGCCUGGUCAGGAGAUGGGGCUGCCAUGGUUGACAGAUCCCUUAGGUUUGGAUGAUGACCCAAGAUCCAACUCAGCCCUUUGACUUUCCCUGGAGCAUUGACAGGGAUCCAACUUCAAAUGAAAUCAACUUCACUGAUUGCACAUCUGCCAGCCGUCACAUACAUCUUGAAGGAGAGAGUGCCUGGACCGUGAGAAUAUCCUGCCCUGGGGCCAGGGAUGUGAGAAAAGGGGGAUGGAUAAGGGUGCUACUUCAUUCCUUAUUCGUCCCACCUAUUUCUUUCUUAGGAACAGAUGGGGGCCGAGAGAUAUCACAACCCCAGCGAAUAAAGGGACGCUUUUGUCACAAGGGGAAAACAGAAGGGUUUGGCGGACAGAGCAGGACUGAACAUAUAAGUCAGAUUUCUCACCGUUGGAGAAGAAAGUACAAAUAUAGAAAGAAGAAAGGCUAAAAUGAACCUUGUGGAAUUGGAUUAGAAUGGGAAAUAUUAAUAUGAAUUCAUGGUUUGUGCACGUUUGUAUAUGUGUAUAUACAUACUUUCCAGCUCAGUCCACCGAAAGGGGCUAGAAAGACUAACACCUCAGUAGCAAUGGGCUCAUCUAGAGCCCAGAUCUUGGUUUUUGAUCCACACUAAAAGAAACCAGGGCUUGAAGGCUGGGGUUGGGAAAGUACACAUAAGCUUGGAAGAUCUUGUUGUGACAGAAAUUAAAGAAGUACUCAAAGAAUUUUGGCGACAUGUCAAAAGGACACAGCAGCAAGAUUGAAGUGGUUCCCUCUGGCCAAAUCUGGGACAAUUUGAGCAUCAAAAUAAAUAAUGAGACUAUGGAGUAUAACCCAUCGAGUAAAAUAGGAACCCAUGAGUUAUACUGGAGAAAUUUGUGAUCAAAGUUAACAUCAUCAGUAAAAAGACAACAGAUAUCAUAUGUCUUCUGAUAUGAUGCACUGAGAAGAACACAACAUCACUUAUCUGAUAUUCCUGCCUAAAAAAUGCAUAAACUUAGUUAAUUAUGAGAAAACAUCAAACAAACUCAAAUUAAAGGAUAUUCCACAAAGUAACUGGAUUGUACUCUUCAAAAAUGUCAAGAUCAUAAAGGAUAAGGAAAGACUGAGGAAUUGUUCUGGAAUAAAGACCCGAGACAUGACAACUGAAUGUUAUGCAUGGUCCUAGAUUUUCUUUGCUUAUAAUGAAUAUUAUUAGGACAGUUGGAAAAUUUAAAUAUAGCCAUUUAGCAUCAUAUCAGUAUUAAUUUCUUGAUUAUGAUACUGAUUGUGGUUAUGGAAGAGAAUGUCCUUGUUUUUAGUAAACAUACACUAAAGUAUUUAGGGAUAGAUAGAUAAAGCAAAUGUGAUAAAAUGCUAAUAUUUGAGGAAUCUAAGUGAAAGUUAUAUGAGAUUCCUUGUACCAUUCUUGCAACUUUUCUGUAAAUCUGAAAUUAUUUCAAAAUAAAAACUGAAAAAAUCACAAUGUUAUUUAGAUUACUAGUAACUAGAUGGUAUUAGAGAAGAGUGUUAUAAUAGUUUCAUUUUAAAAGGUCAGUGUUUAUAAUACUCAAGAAAUCAAAUCCUUUGCAACUGUUUAACUUACAAUGAAAAUUUUAGAUAACUUAAAAAUGUGUGACAAUUUUUAGGAUAGUGAAACUAUUCUGUAUACUAUAAUGGUGGAAACAUGUCAGUUCGCAUUUGUCAAAACCCAUAGACAGUGUAACAGCAGGCAUGAACUCUAAUGUAAACUAUGAGCUUUGGGUGAUAAAGAUGUGUCAGCAUAGAUUCAUCAAUUGUAACAAAUGUGCCACUCUGGUGGGGAUGUUCAUAGCGAGGGAGGUUGUACAAGUGUAGGGGGAGGGAGUAUAUGGGAACUCUGUACUUUCUAUUUGGUUUUGCUGUGAACCUAAAGCUACUCUAAAAAAUAAAGUCUAGGGGCCGGCCCAGUGGUGCAGCGGUUAAGUUUGCACGUUUUGCUUCUCUGUGGCCCAGGGUUUGCCAGUUUGGAUCCCGGGUGCAGACACGGCACCGCUUGGCAAAAGUCAUGCUGUGGUAGCAUCCCACGUAUAAAGUAGAGGAAGAUGGCAUGGAUGUUAGCUCAGGGUCAGCCUUCCUCAGCAAAAAAAUAG
rnacentral:lncRNA from 1 species